rnacentral:rRNA from 1 species
GAUGAACGCUGGCGGCGUGCCUAAUACAUGCAAGUAGAACGCUGAAGGAGGAGCUUGCUCUUCUGGAUGAGUUGCGAACGGGUGAGUAACGCGUAGGUAACCUGCCUGGUAGCGGGGGAUAACUAUUGGAAACGAUAGCUAAUACCGCAUGACAACAGUUACUGCAUGAUAACUGUUUAAAAGGGGCAACUGCUCCACUACCAGAUGGACCUGCGUUGUAUUAGCUAGUUGGUGAGGUAACGGCUCACCAAGGCGACGAUACAUAGCCGACCGGAGAGGGUGAGCGGCCGCACUGGGACUGAGACACGGCCCAGACUCCUACGGGAGGCAGCAGUAGGGAAUCGUCGGCAAGGGACGGAAGUCUGACCGAGCAACGCCGCGUGAGUGAAGAAGGUUUUCGGAUCGGAAAGCUCUGUUGUAAGAGAAGAACGAGUGUGAGAGUGGAAAGUUCACACUGUGACGGUAUCUUACCAGAAAGGGACGGCUAACUACGUG